CCUACGGGUGGCUGCAGUGGGGGAUAUUGCACAAUGGGGGGAACCCUGAUGCAGCGACGCCGCGUGGGUGAAGGAGUGCUUCGGCAUGUAAAGCCCUAUCGGCAGGGAAGCAGCAGCCGAUACCUGACUAAGAAGCCCCGGCUAACUACGUGCCAGCAGCCGCGGUAAUACGUAGGGGGCGCGCUGUAUCCGGAUUCACUGGGUGUAACGGGAGCGUAGACGGACACGCUAGCCAGGGGUGAAAGCCCGGGGCGCAACCCCGGGACUGCCCUGGGAACUGCAUGGCUGGAGUGCGGGGGGGGCAGGCGGAAGUCCGGGUGUAGCGGUGAAAGGGGUAGAUAUCAGGAGGAACACCGGCGGCGAAGGCGGCCUGCUGGACCGCGACUGACGUUGAGGCUCGAAAGCGUGGGGAGCGAACAGGAUUAGAUACCCUGUAGUC
rnacentral:rRNA from 1 species